UCCAGGCCACAGUCAGGAAAGGGCGCUGAGAGGUGAGCGUGAGCCCAGCGACAGGAGAGUGAGCUCACCAUGUGCAGCGCCAUGACCAGCAAGGGUCCCGAGGAGGAGCACCCAUCGGUGACGCUCUUCCGCCAGUACCUGCGCAUCCGCACCGUCCAGCCCAAGCCUGACUACGGAGCUGCUGUGGCUUUCUUUGAGGAGAGAGCCCGCCAGCUGGGCCUGGGCUGUCAGAAAGUGGAGGUGGCACCUGGCUAUGUGGUGACCGUGUUGACCUGGCCAGGCACCAACCCUACACUCUCCUCCAUCUUGCUCAACUCCCACACGGAUGUGGUGCCUGUCUUCAAGGAACAUUGGAGUCACGACCCCUUUGAGGCCUUCAAGGAUUCUGAGGGCUACAUCUAUGCCAGGGGUGCCCAGGACAUGAAGUGCAUCAGCAUCCAGUACCUGGAAGCUGUGAGGAGGCUGAAGGUGGAGGGCCACCGGUUCCCCAGAACCAUCCACAUGACCUUUGUACCUGGCAUAGCCAAUCCCACUGAUGCCUUCACUGUCUUUUAUAGUGAGCGGAGUCCCUGGUCCCCUCAUGCUGAAGACACUCCCUUCCCCCUACACCUCCCCAGGGGUGCGGGUCACCAGCACUGGGAGGCCAGGCCAUGCCUCACGCUUCAUGGAGGACACAGCAGCAGAGAAGCUGCACAAGGUUGUGAGCUCCAUCCUGGCAUUCCGGGAGAAGGAAUGGCAGAGGUGAGGCAGCCUGGGAAGCGGUGGGGUGGCUCUGGGAGGCGGUACCACAGAGGAUAGAGUCUGAGCCACCUCUUUUAUCUGUUGCUGCCGCUACCCUGCCCCCGCACUACAGGCUGCAGUCAAACCCCCACCUGAAAGAGGGG
rnacentral:sRNA from 1 species